CGGCUCACCAAGGCAACGAUGAUUAGGGGUUCUGAGAGGAUAUCCCCCCACACUGGAACUGAGACACGGUCCAGACUCCUACGGGAGGCAGCAGUAGGGAAUAUUGGGCAAUGGAGGCAACUCUGACCCAGCCAUGCCGCGUGAAGGAAUACAGCCCUACGGGUUUUAAACUUCUUUUAUUAUAGAGUAACCGGAGGUACGUGUACCUCCCUGCAAGUAUAUAAUGAAUAAGGAUCGGCUAACUCCGUGCCAGCAGCCGCGGUAAUACGGAGGAUCCGAGCGUUAUCCGGAUUUAUUGGGUUUAAAGGGUGCGCAGGCUGAUCGAUAAGUCAGGGGUGAAAAAUUUCAGCUUAACUGGAAUCGUGCCUUUGAUACUGUCGGACUAGAGUGUAACUGACGUGACUGGAAUGUGCCGUGUAGCGGUGAAAUGCUUAGAUAUGUCACAGAACGCCAAUCGUGAAGACAGGUCACGAAGUUACUACUGACGCUCAUGCACGAAAGCGUGGGGAUCAAACAGGAUUAGAUACCCUGGUAGUCCACGCUGUAAAACGAUGAUUACUCGUUGUUGGGUAGCAAUACUCAGUGGCCAAGCGAAAGUGAAAAGUAAUCCACCUGGGGAGUACGAUCGCAAGGUUGAAACUCAAAGGAAUUGACGGGGGCCCGCACAAGCGGAGGAGCAUGUGGUUUAAUUCGAUGAUACGCGAGGAACCUUACCCGGGCUUGAACGUGAGACGAAUAUAUAAGAGAUUAUAUAGCCUUCGGGCGUCUUGCGAGGUGCUGCAUGGUUGUCGUCAGCUCGUGCCGUGAGGUGUUAGGUUAAGUCCUGCAACGAGCGCAACCCCUACACUUAGUUGCCAGCAUGUCAUGAUGGGGACUCUAGGAGAACUGCCUACGCAAGUAGAGAGGAAGGUGGGGAUGACGUCAAAUCAGCACGGCCCUUAUGUCCGGGGCUACACACGUGCUACAAUGGUAUGUACAGAGGGCAGCCACCUGGUGACAGGGAGCAAAUCCUCAAAACAUAUCUCAGUUCGGAUUGGAGUCUGUAACUCGACUCUAUGAAGUCGGAUUCGCUAGUAAUCGCGCAUCAGCCAUGGCGCGGUGAAUACGUUCCCGGGCCUUGUACACACCGCCCGUCAAG
rnacentral:rRNA from 1 species